UACGUAGGGUGCAAACGUUGUCCGGAAUUAUUGGGCGUAAAGAGCUCGUAGGCGGUCUGUCGCGUCGGCUGUGAAAUCCCGAGGCUCAACCUCGGGUCUGCAGUCGAUACGGGCAAACUAGAGUAUUGCAGGGGAGACUGGAAUUCCUGGUGUAGCGGUGAAAUGCGCAGAUAUCAGGAGGAACACCGGUGGCGAAGGCGGGUCUCUGGGCAAUAACUGACGCUGAGGAGCGAAAGCGUGGGGAUCAAACAGG
rnacentral:rRNA from 1 species